CACCAUUGUUAAUCUCUACCAACAACAAUAGGACCAGCACGUCGAUGCUCAGGAGCAUCAACUGAGUUUGAGGAACUCUACAAUUUAAGACCCAUAUGUUCUCCAUACCCCAACCUAGCUGUCGAGAUUUGUUUUUUUUACUGGUGAAGUCAUUGGCCAAUGAAAGAUGUUUGCCGAACCCUGACGGUGACGAGGUGUUCUUUACCACUACGUGUGUUGCUAUCGCCCAAUCCAUGUCAGACCUGCACUUUGCCGUAAUCUGCCGCUGGAGCAUGUAAGCCGCCAUGCAUGCAACUGUGCACGUCUAGGACUGCUGCCCCAAGCUGAAGGCUUCCUCUCCCCCAUCGUGCAUAGCAACCUGCAAUUUGCCAUGGCCAUGAUCGUACAGGAGUUCAAGGGUUAGGACAAAGUAUUUACAGAAUAGCCUCUGUCAGUGAGCAAUUCGUGGUGAACAAGAGUACUUCAGUGA